AUCGCUUCUCGGCCUUUUGGCUAAGAUCAAGUGUAGUAUAAAUUAUCCUAAUGGACCACUAUAUUAAUAUAUUUCUUUCCCUAUAAAACAUCC
ensembl:snRNA U2 U2 spliceosomal RNA